rnacentral:tRNA from 1 species
GCCUUCUUGGUGAAAUUGGAAAGCACAUCUGGCUGGCAAUCGGGAAGUUCAGAGUUCGAAUUCCGGAGAAGGCA